rnacentral:rRNA from 1 species
GCUCAGGAUGAACGCUGGCGGUAUGCCUAACACAUGCAAGUCGAACGAAUCUUUCGGGAUUAGUGGCGGACGGGUGAGUAACGCGUGAGAAUCUGCCUCGAGGAUGGGGACAACAGUUGGAAACGACUGCUAAUACCCAAUGUGCCUAACGGUGAAAUUUUUUAGCCUUGAGGGGAGCUCGCGUCCGAUUAGUUAGUUGGUGGGGUAAAGGCCUACCAAGGCAGCGAUCGGUAGCUGGUCUGAGAGGAUGAGCAGCCACACUGGGACUGAGACACGGCCCAGACUCCUACGGGAGGCAGCAGUGGGGAAUUUUCCGCAAUGGGCGAAAGCCUGACGGAGCAAUACCGCGUGAGGGAGGAAGGUUUUUGGAUUGUAAACCUCUUUUAAUAAGGAAGAAGAAAGUGACGGUACUUAUUGAAUAAGCAUCGGCUAACUCCGUGCCAGCAGCCGCGGUAAUACGGAGGAUGCAAGCGUUAUCCGGAAUCAUUGGGCGUAAAGCGUCCGCAGGUGGCUCAUCAAGUCUGCUGUUAAAGACAGAAGCUCAACUUCUGAGCAGCAGUGGAAACUGGUGAGCUAGAGUAUGGUAGGGGUUGAGGGAAUUCCCAGUGUAGCGGUGAAAUGCGUAGAUAUUGGGAAGAACACCAGUGGCGAAGGCGCUCAACUGGGCCAUAACUGACACUCAGGGACGAAAGCUAGGGUAGCGAAAGGGAUUAGAUACCCCUGUAGUCCUAGCUGUAAACGAUGAACACUAGGCGUUGCUUGUAUCGACCCGAGCAGUGCCGUAGCCAACGCGUUAAGUGUUCCGCCUGGGGAGUACGCACGCAAGUGUGAAACUCAAA